CAAGAAUUAGGGCUUUGUGAUGGAGGCCCUGGCUAUGGCGGAGGCAGAGGAGGCUGCGCCAUGAACCGUCAGCAGUAUUCGGAGUUCCAGAAGGCGGACUUGAAUCUCAGAGAGACAGUGAUGGACUCGGCAAGAUGCUGCUGGGUCUGCAAUUAACCUGUGGGCUUGCCAGCCACACGGUUGACUCCGGAAUUGAGGGAGCGCAUCUGGGGCCCUUAAAAACUGGCUGGCCCAUGAAUGUAUGGUCUUUAUUUCGGAGGAAUUGAGGAGGUUCGUUUCUGAUGAUCAUCUUUGUUGUUGAAAGCGAAGCAGUGAGGCUGGGACCAAAUUUAGAAGUACUUGGAUGGGUGAUGUUCGUCUGGCCGGUCAUCCAUCUGUUCGCGGUGGCCCAGGAACCCCAGUGUUCAGGAGAAUUUCAAACAAGACGAGUGUUCUGAGGCCAAGAGUAGCACCAGCAUGACUUCGGCAGCAAUAGUGGACUAGGGGGAUCAGAAGUCACGAUCUCCAGUUAAAGAAGCUUACCAUUUUUCUAUUGCUACACACAUGGUAGUUUUGUCUUUGCAAUGUGAGAUUCCAUCGGGUCGCAGGGUGUAUUGAAAAAAGGAGAAAGUCAGGAGAUGUGAUGGUGUCUCAAAAAACAAGCCCACGAUAUCUGGAAUCUAGCUUGCCUUGUAUCUUCCAAACACCCUAGGUUCGGCUGCUGCUGAAUUUCGCUGUCCACACGUGCAGUCUGCAUCGGAUUCUCUGGGGAUACUGUGGUGCCAUUUGAGAGCAAGGUUGGUCGAUCUGACCCAUCAAGCACACUGCGACGAAGUAGCAAAGCGAGAAGAAUAUGUCCCAUAGCGAAGACUCGAUGUUACCUACUGUGUUACGCAUCGACAGUCGCGGGACCGAUGGCUCUUUAGCUUUAUACUUUCUUAGUUUCUGGCAAGUUGACGGUGAGUCGACGAAGAAAAAUUAUUGCUCAGACCCCGUGUGUAGGUUUUGGCUUUUUCCAUAUUCACGGAAACUCCAAGCGGCAGAUUAUGACAUGAUAAAGCAUCUCGAAUUGGGAUGAAGGGGCUAUGUAGGUGCUCUGCUUCCACUGUUGCCUCUCAUGACUUGUCUUCUUGCCCACGGCCUUGCCGUCACGGCUUAAAUCACACCGUCUGGACUAUUCUUCUAUCAACAGUUUGCGAUGAGAGGCAUCCCCAGACAGACCCCAUUCGAACGCACCUUCAUGGCAUGCCCCACUAGCCUGGUAAUCAGUUACUGGUAUGUAUAAGUUCUGCUCCAACUUCAGUGUUGUCGCAUGCUGUGAGGGUUUUAUUUCUUCAUACUGUAAAGCGCUCAUGAUGAGACAUCGUCUCGUUCUGGGCUUUCAAUACUUCACUUUAUAGAACUUUUGUGCUCGUUCCGAGGGUGCAGCAUUUCAGUUCGAGGAUUUGGGUUUCUUGUAUUUGGGUCACUUGUCUGCGCUCACAACUCUUCUCGUCGACGGUAAAUGGCUAAAGUCAACAACCAACUACUUUCCACCUCCGGAAGUUUUUCUGUAAUCGACGAACAACUUUACCCGAAGUUAUCUGUCAGAUCCUGAGAGGAAUUUUCAAACUUGUGUAGCAAUUUUGGCACUGAAUCUUCUGUAUUAUGAUUGGGAGUGAGGAUUUGGAGGUUUUAGUCAUUCUACCCUUCAAAAUAAAUGUAUUGAAUCAGAGAAAGACCUGGAGUCCACAGCCACAGGAGACGUGGAGAUGAAGAUGGAAUUGAUGGGAUGUUGGGCAUGCCCAACACGAUCUGUCAACAUUCUAUGUUAUAUUGACGGGUCGUGAUGGGCACUCUCAAUGUCCACUUCAUGAUAAUAUAACUCUUUUUAUGUGACAUUCGACGACGACGAUGACGGUAGUCUUCUUCGGCACCUCUUUUUAACGUUUCAGUGUUACCCUCAGCCUUGGUUAUUGCUGGACUUGCAUGCAUCUUCUUGCACCUUCGUGGACCGCGGAAGCCGUGUGCCAGGCCGUGACCUGUCGUAAUAUUGCAGGGGGCUCUUAAAGUCUGAAGUUGCUUGUGGAUUCUAUUACUCUGGUAGAAGGUACACUGAUUGGUUUUUUGAUAUUCUGGCUUUCUACUUCCGUACGUAGCAGCAUCCACAACAGGUGGUUACAAUUGAUGAAAGUACUGUGCUCACAGGAUGCUUGAGACCGAUCAGAGUUUUGCACUGCAGCAGGAACCAGUUGACCUCGGUGUCAUUCGUUGCAUGUGGGGUGGUUUGAGUAACUUCAUGGACAGAAAAUCAUUUUAAUUGUUACGAGCGGUGAAGGGACCUAGCCUUGUGGUUCUGCAAUUUCAUAUCUGAAGAUGAACCUUGACAAUUGAUAAUCCAGAAUGUCUGAUCUACGACGCAUGGGUGCAAAGUAGGCUGUUCUGAAACACUGUAAUUGAUCAUCGGUCUGCUUCCAAACUUCUAAACUAAAAAGGAAAUUGGGUGGAUUGGAAGUGUAGUGUUCUGAUUCAACUAACGAUUGAUUUUCUUGAGAUUACAUCUACAUUUCCAAAUUGGAAGUAUUGUUGUUUAUCUUAAUGAGAAAUGUUACAUAUUUUACGUUUUCUAUUUAA